CGGGGUAUAAAAGAGAGUUGGAAAUUUCACUAUGCCCAGUUUGUUUUGAAACAACGUUCACAGCUUUCAACCAUGUUCCAACAGUUAAAAGUUUUUACUCUGGUUGCAUUAUGGGUCGCUAGUGUCCUAGUUGCUGUAGCAGCAGAGACAGGAUCACAAGGAGAAGGACAAGGCCAAGAACAUGGACAAGGACAACAUGGUCACUAAGAAACACGAUCGACCCUUUGGACAUUGAGAAGAAUGAAACUGUUUACUGGGUAAAGCACUUAUAAUGGCACGUUACGGCAAAUAAAAAAAGUAAAAAAAAAAAAAUG